UCUCCGAAAAAUGCAGAUUAAUACUACGAAGUCCCAAAUAAUGUGCAAUAUAACCCUUAUUCAUUACCGUCAAGUUCGUAAAAUUUUGACAAAUAAUAUAUCAAAUCGAAGCCCUCGCGAUGAAGAGUUCAACUCUACUUUUAGAAUUUUAAAAAACCAAUGUAUGUGACCGAACAAACGUUUACAAUAUACGAAUAAGGGUUAUAUUGCACAUUAUUUGGGACUUCGUAGUAUUAAUCUGCAUUUUUCGGAGAUGGAAGGUAAAAU
rnacentral:lncRNA from 1 species